rfam:Cajanus cajan Scaffold106423_1, whole genome shotgun sequence.
GAGAAGGUUAUGCCAGCUUGGCGAUGGUUGUCCAAGUGGAAGGAUGUAGUUAGGUUUAGUAGGCAAAUCCGCUAGACUAUUAAUGAGAUCUGAUAGCAAGCUGUACUUGUACAGCGAAGUGGCAAAUACCCUGCUUCCAGGAAAAGCUUCUAAGCGAUAGUCAUAAAGAAAUCGUACCCGAAACCGACACAGGUGGUCAGGUAGAGAAUACCAAGGCGCUUGAGAGAACUCUGCUGAAGGAACUAGGCAAAAUG